UACGUAGGGGGCAAGCGUUGUCCGGAUUUACUGGGCGUAAAGAGCGUGUAGGCGGCCAAGCAGGUCCGUUGUGAAAACUGGAGGCUUAACCUCCAGACGUCGACGGAAACCGCGUGGCUAGAGUCCGGAAGAGGAGAGUGGAAUUCCUGGUGUAGCGGUGAAAUGCGUAGAUAUUGGGAGGAACACCAGUGGCGAAGGCGGCUCACUGGACCGGAACUGACGCUGAGGCGCGAAAGCGUGGGGAUCAAAACAGG
rnacentral:rRNA from 1 species